rnacentral:rRNA from 1 species
GGCUUAAUACAUGCAAGUCGAACGGCUGUAGCAAUACAGCAGUGGCAGACGGGUGAGUAACACGUGGGAACCUACCCAGGGGUACGGAAUAACUCAGGGAAACUUGUGCUAAUACCGUAUACGACCUAAGGGUGAAAGAUUUAUCGCCCCUGGAUGGGCCCGCGUUGGAUUAGCUAGUUGGUGGGGUAAUGGCCUACCAAGGCGACGAUCCAUAGCUGGUCUGAGAGGAUGAUCAGCCACACUGGGACUGAGACACGGCCCAGACUCCUACGGGAGGCAGCAGUAGGGAAUCUUGGACAAUGGGCGAAAGCCUGAUCCAGCCAUGCCGCGUGUGUGUUGAAGGCCUUAGGGUUGUAAAGCAC